rnacentral:rRNA from 1 species
UGGGGAAUCUUGGACAAUGGGGGCAACCCUGAUCCAGCCAUGCCGCGUGAGUGACGAAGGCCUUCGGGUUGUAAAGCUCUUUCGCCCACGACGAUGAUGACGGUAGUGGGAGAAGAAGCCCCGGCUAACUCCGUGCCAGCAGCCGCGGUAAUACGGAGGGGGCUAGCGUUGUUCGGAAUCACUGGGCGUAAAGCGCACGUAGGCGGCGUGUUUAGUCAGAGGGGAAAGGCCCGGGCUCAACCCGGGAACUGCCUUUGAUACUGGCACGCUCGAGUCCGAGAGGGGGUGGUGGAACUCCCAGUGUAGAGGUGAAAUUCGUAGAUAUUGGGAAGAACACCGGUGGCGAAGGCGACCACCUGGCUCGGGACUGACGCUGAGGUGCGAAAGCGUGGGGAGCAAACA